CCUACGGGUGGCAGCAGUGGGGAAUAUUGGGCAAUGGGGGAAACCCUGACCCAGCAACGCCGCGUGAAUGUGGAAGGCUUUCGGAUUGUAAACUUCUUUUCUAAGGGACGAGAAAAGUGACGGUACCUUAGGAAUAAGCCUCGGCUAACUACGUGCCAGCAGCCGCGGUAAUACGUAGGGGGCAAGCGUUAUCCGGAUUGACUGGGGGUAAAGGGUGCGUAGGGGGUUUGGCAAGUUAGUAGCGAAAACCCAAGGCUCAACCUUGGAACUACUACUAAAACUGUUGGACUUGAGUGCAGGAGGGGCAACCGGAAUUCCUAGUGUAGCGGUGGAAUGCGUAGAUAUUAGGAGGAACACCAGUGGCGAAGGCGGGUUGCUAGACUGUAACUGACACUGAGGCACGAAAGCGUGGGGAGCAAACAGGAUUAGAUACCCCGGUAGUC
rnacentral:rRNA from 1 species